AAGCUUUGAGGUGUAACGUAACGUUCCUUCCUAUUACAUUCACAUACUACCUUGAUAGGGCAGACAGAGGGUGCACACUGCAGAGCCAAAUUGCAGGUUCGUGCGUGAAUCUAACGAAAGUUUCUCGUUCUCUCCAUUCCACUUCUGCGUUAGAUUCACGCACAAACUUGUCAUUUCUCUUUUCUUGACUUUUUUCUUUUUCCGUCAAAUCUUUGUUUGUUGCAUUCGACUUCGAAUUCAGAUUCAGAUUUCUCUGUUUAACGCUCCUUACAACGAUGACGCCGCGGCUACUGAACAACAAUAGGGUCACAUCUUUUAGAGUCAAGUCACUUCGAAAAUUUUCACUUAAUAUGCCAUUUUGGAUUACACCUCCUGUUCACUCUUGGAAAGCAACAACGACUAGCCAAAGCUUUGUAAACAACAAAAGACACCACACAGGAUGAUGCCUCCGGAUACUACAUCUAGAAUGAGAGGCAUCAUAUACAAAUACCACAUGUGCCAGCAUUGCAACGAUACUAGGAUGACGCUUUCUGCAAAAGGGCAAAAGGUAAAAACAAAAUGUCAUUCAAGAUGAUAUUUCCUAAAUGUGAUGCAGCAAAAAUAACUCUACAGCAAAUAAUUUUCACAUUACUCUCCUUUCAUAAAUAAUUUUUUAUUACCUUUAUUGUAAAAAAGUCUACUAGUCUCUUGCCUUGAAGUGGUCUGAGAAUGGUACCAAGCAUCUCCCAGCGGUGUGAUUCCAAAAGUUGUUCAACUUGAGCGAAGAGGUCCAACACGAAUCAUCCAUGCAGUAACAUGAUAAAGAUUUGAUUCCAAAAGCCCAGGUAAUUCAUUUUUUGGAAGACAAAUAGUGUGGCUGAUUCGUGUGUCAAGAUUGUUCUCUUUCCCAACCCUUUGGGAUUAGGAGUAUCAAGAUUGUUCCUCUAGGGGUGCAUUCUAAGGUGAAGUGAUAAAAAUACUUCCACACCGGUUUAAUUAUUCGUUUGACUUGUAUACUUCCACAAUUUUUACAAGUAAAUUCUUAUAUUUGGACGUUUUAA